AGAUGAAAGCUUUCAUCGCUCAGGAAAAAGUGAGUGUGGCACCUGAACAUGAUUAGACAAGAUGUACAAGCUUCUAAGCACGUCCAUGGAGACUGGGCUACUCUACAUAGAUGAAAUGUGCUUUCCUGCUGCAGACCAGAAAUGAGGAUGAUGGAGGCCCUGGGAUCCUUUGCCUGUUCAGCCUCUCAGCACUGCCUCGAACCCCACAGGCAGCAGGAAGCUUUGUUACCCAAACCACAGUACUGAAGUCUUUAGCCCCUAAACCAGACAUCCCGCCCAAUCCCAGAUUUCAGCAAGACCUCACACAUACACGUGUAUAUGCAUGGGUGUGGUGUGUGUGC
rnacentral:lncRNA from 1 species